GGCUCUGACGUGCGCACUACACCCUUUGUGACAUACCUAUAACUGUUGCUUCGGCGGGUAGGGUCUCCGUGACCCUCCCGGCCUCCCGCCCCCGGGCGGGUCGGCGCCCGCCGGAGGAUAACCAAACUCUGAUUUAACGACGUUUCUUCUGAGUGGUACAAGCAAAUAAUCAAAACUUUUAACAACGGAUCUCUUGGUUCUGGCAUCGAUGAAGAACGCAGCGAAAUGCGAUAAGUAAUGUGAAUUGCAGAAUUCAGUGAAUCAUCGAAUCUUUGAACGCACAUUGCGCCCGCCAGCAUUCUGGCGGGCAUGCCUGUUCGAGCGUCAUUUCAACCCUCAAGCUCUGCUUGGUGUUGGGGCCCUACGGCUGACGUAGGCCCUCAAAGGUAGUGGCGGACCCUCCCGGAGCCUCCUUUGCGUAGUAACUUUACGUCUCGCACUGGGAUCCGGAGGGACUCUUGCCGUAAAACCCCCAAUUUUCCAAAGGUUGACCUCGGAUCAGGUAGGAAUACCCGCUGAACUUAAGCAUAUCAAA
rnacentral:rRNA from 1 species